GGAUGCGAUCAUACCAGCACUAAAGCACCGGAUCCCAUCAGAACUCCGAAGUUAAGCGUGCUUGGGCGAGAGUAGUACUAGGAUGGGUGACCUCCUGGGAAGUCCUCGUGUUGCAUUCCUUUUUUUUUGGUUUUAUUUUUGUUUGUUUUUCGAACACCAAACCAUAGUAAAAAUGGGUGACCGUUCUCGUGUUAAAUUACCUUUUAUUUGUUUUAAGGGGCGUUUUU
rnacentral:lncRNA from 7 species